rfam:Triticum aestivum genome assembly, contig: Triticum_aestivum_CS42_TGACv1_scaffold_220894_3B
AAAGUACUCCCUUCGUCCCAAAAUUCUUGCCACAAAUUUGUCUAGAUACGGAUGUAUCAAUACAUCCAUAUCUAGACAAAUCUAAGACAAGAAAUUUGGGACAGAGGGAGUAGUUG